rnacentral:lncRNA from 1 species
AUGUCUAUGCCUACAAGGGUGUUCACGUUACCUCUGGAAAGGGCUGUCACUAGGCAGAAGCGACUAGGGUUUUGCUCCAAGACAUCAGCAUGCCUGAUGACCGUUUGGGAAGUAAAAUGCAUCACUUCCUGGCUCUUAUUUAAUUUAAUUCAAUUUAAUUUAAUGGUCAGAACUAGUCUAAUUAUCUUAACGUUUUCAUCUGUUUUUAAUUUUACUUAUAUUUUAUAGGUAUCCAUAAUUAUAUAUUGUGCAAUAAGCUCUGAUAUGACAACAGAAGCAGGGAGAGCAAAUACAAAUAGAAUUUGUUCUCUGUGGCCUCUAAACACAAUGCUAGAAUGAAGGCUCUUGCCAGCAUGACCGACAAGAGCAAGCAGUUCACACUCAUUCUGGAUGACGAAAACCAGACCAAACCCAUAUCUGUGAAAAAAGCAUCAUUCCAGGAGAAAUCAAGGGGAUUUCUGUCACAAAGCUCUCCAGCGUUAUGCCUCACAUUUGAGAAGAGCGUAGGAUAUAAUGUGCCCUGUUUCUCCCAUAAGCCCUCUAUGACUGAGGCUGAUAGGCCUUCGAGCAAAAGAAAAAUUGUGAUUCUCUGUUUAUUUGCCCUUCUUAUCAUUUUGGGCAUUCUGCUGUUUUUCUUAUACAAUCCUUUCACUGGACCCCAGGAUCUACCCAAAGAGGAUGGGAUCAAAGCCAGGAAGAACAUGACAGCAGCCGUCUCAGUUGUGCCAGAAAAUCUCACACUUGCAACUCUAUUGGCAGCUGAAAUGGAAGAACCACAGGGAGGAGCCAUGAGGAACUGCUUGGAGAAAGCUGCUCAGGAGUUCUCUGAGGAGCCAAGCAUUGUGAAGAAGAACACCAGGAUGAUCCUGCAGUGUAACGGAACAAAGCGGGAGUUCCUGUCUGGAAAAGGGGGAAACCUCAUUGAAGUGGUCUGGAUCAAUGAGAAGGUGUCUUAUACAUUGGUUCAUGAAGCCCAUCCAGAUGUCCAUCUAGCAAGGCUUGGACGUCAUCCCUUUCCCCUCAGUCUUGGCAAUAUCUUUUGUGUUUUACAAGAUGUGAUCUCCUACAAUGGCUCAGAAGAGCUACAGAGUUGCCUCAGGGAGGCCUUAAAGCAAUUGCCCUGCGAACCAUUAAUAGUGCAGGACAAUGCCAAAAUGGUGGUGUCCUGCGGAGGGAAGAGCCUCACGUUCAUCUCUGGUGAAGGGCAAACUGAGAUUAAUGUAUACAGAGAAGACCCACAUGGGCCGAUUCAAUAUGUGGUGAAAGCAACAGGAAACGCGUGGUGGUCGAGAUAUUUCAAAAAGGGAAAGCUUUGCUAA